GAUGAACGCUGGCGGCGUGCUUAACACAUGCAAGUCGAACGGUGAAGCAGAGCUUGCUCUGUGGAUCAGUGGCGAACGGGUGAGUAACACGUGAGCAACCUGCCCCUGACUCUGGGAUAAGCGCUGGAAACGGCGUCUAAUACUGGAUAUGAGCUGCGACCGCAUGGUCAGCAGUUGGAAAGAUUUUUCGGUCUGGGAUGGGCUCACGGCCUAUCAGCUUGUUGGUGAGGUAAUGGCUCACCAAGGCGUGGACGGGUAGCCGGCCUGAGAGGGUGACCGGACAAGCUGGGAGUGAGAGAAGGCACGGACCUCGCGGGGGAGGAGAGGAGGGAGAAAGUGAAAAAUGGGGAAAGGUAGAAGUAAGCAGGGGGGCGGGAGGAGGGAAGGGCUUGGGGUUGUAAACAUUUUUUGGGGGGGAAGAAGCGGAGGAGACGGGACCUGGAGAAAAAUCAACGGAUAAAUAGGA
rnacentral:rRNA from 1 species